GGGUCAGUAGGUUGGUCGUGCCACCGGUACGUACUGGUCUCACUGAUUCCUCCUUCCUGAAGAACCGUAAUGCCAUUAAUUUGGUGUUGCGGGGAAACAGGACUGUUACCUUGAAAAAAUUAGAGUGUUUAAAGCAAGCUAACGCUUGAAUACAUUAGCGUGGAAUAAUGAAAUAGGACGAUCGAUCCUAUUUUGUUGGUUUCUAGGAUUGACGUA
rnacentral:rRNA from 1 species